AUGGUAUUGUGUAUGUAACAACAAUUAUAAAUAUGAAGGAGUUUUGACUUUGUAUUCGUUCAGAAAUGUAUGUUUUUGUAGUUUAUAAGUGAUGUUGCUUGUUUAUAGAAAGGGGUGCCUCAAGGAAUCAUACACUUCAUUUUUGAUAUGCCAAACCCAUGAUUGUUUUUCCUUUCCAUGCAAAAUCAGGGAAAUUUCAAAUUCAAUCUUAAGCUUCUGAUAUAAUCUUUACAACAGCAGAAGACAGAACCAAAUGGAUCUUGGAAGCCCAUGGCUGGAAAUGUAUAGGCCUCUGUUUCUGCUGGAAAUUUCUCUAUCAAGGGAGAAGGCCAAACAAAUAAAAUAAAAAUAAGAAAAAUGGGGGAACUUAAAAGACUCAAUUGUAACUUAUCUUCAUUAGUACCUCAAAAGAAGAGAACUGAAUUGUAAUUUCUCUUACAUGAUUGCCUCAGAAAUGAAAAAUAAAGGAAAGGAAAAGUCUUCUACAUUCCAAAUCCUCUAUGGCACAGGCACCAUCCUUUCAGCUCUUGGGAGACUAUAAGUUUCAUCUUUACAAUAACAUAGAAACCAAUCUCUUAUUGUUGUAGCUAUAAAGAAUAUGCUAUGGGUGGGCCUAUUUAUAUACCAAGAAUGAAGAACAGUGUGAACAGAGUAGCCUUCACUUAGCAGCCAUUUUCAAGCAGAAAAUCAUGAGGUGCUGGUGUCAAGGCUGUAGGAAGAGUCACAGAGAACGUAGUUGGGUUUCUUCUCCUCUUCCCACUUCAGAAUCGUCCCUGCAUAUGUGAGAGCUUCACCAACAGUAUCAGGCUCCAAUCCUGUGACUGAUGAAACAUACAACUUGCGUCCAGUAAGGGAAUAGAACAGUGUCUUGAACUUUAGGGCGAUGUAGUGGAAGGCAAUUUGAGCCAAUGAAUGAGUGUUACUUAUACUACUCCGGCUGUUGUAGUUGUGACUGACGACCGGAGUAAAGUCAUGGAACCACUCACAUUUAGUGAGAGGAGACUGAUCGAUUUUUUCCUCUAAGAGGUCGAACUUGUUGAGUAUCAGGAGGAAGUCCUUGUGCUCGAAGUUAGGAUGAGUGACUACUCUUUCAAAGAGUUUCUUGCUCUCCAGCAUCUUGUUCCUAGAGAACCCAUUAAGGCCAUCAGACAAUUCAUCGUAGUCUGCUAAGGAAACACAAAAUAAGACAAUCCCAACAUCUUCAAACAUCUCCAACCACUUGCAGUUGUCCCCAAGGUUUUUUGGGUGCACUCUGAUGAGUUCGAACCUGCGACUGAUAAGGGAAAAAAAAAAGGCUGUAAGAGGAGAGAUUUCUCAUUUAUUCAUAUGUGAAAUCAUAUAAUUAUUGAAUGUAAGAAAGAGCCAUUGAAGCAUCAAUGUAUAAUUAAAGUGAUGUCCCCUUUAUAAGGACAGCUAGUAUUCAUGCAGAAAAUCAGCAUCAGAAUUCGUAACUGCAUUUGAUCAGCUAGUUUAGGAAAUCUGUACAGCUCAUUCUUUCCUUUAUUUUCACAUAUGUUGUUAUACGUUAGUACAAGUUUAGGAGUAAUUUUAGUUUCUCAAAUCUGUAUUUAUACCUCUUCUUCUAAUAAGAAUUGUGUGAAUCAUUUUGUCUAAACCUCUAUAUGGUAUCAGAGCUGGGGACACUGAAGUCAGAAUUGCACUUAGAAUAAGUUUGUCCUUACGGAACCAAAGGUGAUGAGCUGUAGUGGCAGCUGCAUCAGUUGACGUCGGUAGGGGUGGGCAGGUAUGAGUGCCAUCGACAUAGCCAAAGAGGUUAUAGCCGAGGAGGAGAGACUCAAAUUGAGCAUGCCAUGAAGGGAAGUUGGUUGGUGUGAGACGUGCAGUAAUUUGCUGGGUGGCAUUGAUGGCUAUUGGAAAACUAUCAGAGGAAGAAGUGGCCAUAGCAGAAGCGAGAAAGACAGGAAAUACUCGUUGGAGUUUUGAGGUGUGCUCUGAUACCAUAUAAAGGUUUAGACAAAAUGAUUCACACAAUUCUUAUUAGAAGAAGAGGUAUAAAUACAGAUUUGAAAAACUAAAAUUACUCCUAAACUUGUGCUAACGUAUAACAACAUAUGUGAAAA